AGUGAACGCUGGCGGUAGGCCUAACACAUGCAAGUCGAACGGCAGCACAGUAAGAGCUUGCUCUUACGGGUGGCGAGUGGCGGACGGGUGAGGAAUACAUCGGAAUCUACUUUUUCGUGGGGGAUAACGUAGGGAAACUUACGCUAGUACCGCAUACGACCUACGGGUGAAAGCAAGGGAUCUUCGGACCUUGCGCGAUUGAAUGAGCCGAUGUCGGAUUAGCUAGUUGGCGGGGUAAAGGCCCACCAAGGCGACGAUCCGUAGCUGGUCUGAGAGGAUGAUCAGCCACACUGGAACUGAGACACGGUCCAGACUCCUACGGGAGGCAGCAGUGGGGAAUAUUGGACAAUGGGCGCAAGCCUGAUCCAGCCAUACCGCGUGGGUGAAGAAGGCCUUCGGGUUGUAAAGCCCUUUUGUUGGGAAAGAAAAGCAGCAGGUUAAUACCCCGCUGUUCUGACUGUACCCAAAGAAUAAGCACCGGCUAACUUCGUG
rnacentral:rRNA from 1 species